GGUGUCGAUGACGCCGGGGGUCCACCUGUUCCCAUACCGAACACAGAAGUUAAGCCCGGUGGUGCCGAAAAUAGUUGGCUGGCGACGGCCUGUGAAAAUAGGGAGAUGCC
rnacentral:rRNA from 1 species